rnacentral:rRNA from 1 species
ACUUGACCAGUGAGCUAUUACGCUUUCUUUCAAGGAUGGCUGCUUCUAAGCCAACCUCCUGGCUGUCCGGGCACAUCCACAUCCUUUCCCACUUAACAGACCGUUCGGGACCUUAGCUGCUGGUCUGGGCUCUUACCCUUUCGACGAUGAAGCUUAUCCCCCACCGUCUCACUCCCCGGCUCCACACUGAUGGACUUCGGAGUUUGACUGGGGACGGUACCCCUCGCAGGGCCCUAACCCAAUCAGUGCUCUACCCCCAUCAGGCACCGCCGAAGGCUCGCCCUACAGCAAUUUCGGGGAGAACCAGCUAUCUCCGAGUUUGAUUGGCCUUUCACCCCUAUCCACACGUCCUCCCCGCAGUUUUCAACCUGCGUGGGUGCGGGCCUUCACCAUCUGUUACGAUGGCUGCACCCUGCGCAUGGAUAGCUCACUCGGCUUCGGGUCGACCGCUCGCGACUCUGCGCCCUCUUCAGACUCGCUUUCGCUCCGGCUUCCGCUCCUUGCGUUAACCUUGCCGCCAACGGUCACUCGCCGGCUCAUUAUGCAAUAGGCACGCCAUCACCCGCUUGCGCAGGCUCUGACAGCUUGUAAGUAUACGGUUUCAGGUUCUCUUUCACUCCCGGUAACCGGGGUUCUUUUCACCUUUCCCUCACGGUACUCGUGCACUAUCGGUCGCGUUGACGUAUUUAGCCUUGGAAGGUGGGCCUCCCAGGUUCCCACAAGCCGUCUCGUAGCCCGUGGUACUCGGGGCCAUCUCACACCACUCCCCGCGCGCUUCUCUUACCGGGCUCUCACCGUCUCUGGCGGACCCUUCCAGAUCCCUUCUGAUCCCGCGCCGUUCGCUGGCGUGACUGUCGUGUCAGUCACCUGAAAUGCCCCACAACCCCGAAUCAACAGCGAACACGAUCUCCUGACAUUGAUCCGGUUUCGGCUCUUCCCCGUUCGCUCGCCGCUACUCAGGGAAUCUCACUUGAUUUCUCUUCCUCCGGGUACUGAGAUGGUUCAGUUCCCCGGGUUCGCCUUCACCGCCUACUCCUUUCAGCGAUGAAUGCCUGCCCAUGACGACAGGCGGGUUGCCCCAUUCGGAUAUCCCUGGCUCUCGGCCUGUGUACAACUCCCCAGGGCUUUUCGCAGUUCACCACGUCCUUCGUCGCCGCAACGCGCCAAGGCAUCCACCGUAUACCCUUCU